GCUCGAUUAACUCAGCGGUAGAGUGCCUUCAUGACAUGGAGGAGGUCACAAGUUCAAAUCUUGUAUCGAGCACCA
rnacentral:tRNA from 1 species